GGGCGGAAGGUAGGCCAGCAGGCCCUCGGCGCUCCAUGCGCUCGGUGCCGUCGGAUCGAAUCCGGCCCCGCGCA
rnacentral:tRNA from 1 species